rnacentral:rRNA from 1 species
GCACACGCCGUCCCCCAAAUACAGUGGCGGUCCCGCCGCAGCUUCCAUCGCGUAGUAGCUAACACCUCGCGACUGGAGAGCGGCGCGGCCACGCCGUAAAACACCCAACUCUUCUGAAGUUGACCUCGAAUCAGGUAGGAAUACCCGCUGAACUUAAGCAUAUCAAUAAGCGGAGGAAAAGAAACCAACAGGGAUUGCCCCAGUAACGGCGAGUGAAGCGGCAACAGCUCAAAUUUGAAAUCUGGCUCUCGGGCCCGAGUUGUAAUUUGUAGAGGAUGCUUUUGGUGAGGUGCCUUCCGAGUUCCCUGGAACGGGACGCCAUAGAGGGUGAGAGCCCCGUCUGGUUGGACGCCGAACCUCUGUAAAGCUCCUUCGACGAGUCGAGUAGUUUGGGAAUGCUGCUCUAAAUGGGAGGUAUAUGUCUUCUAAAGCUAAAUACCGGCCAGAGACCGAUAGCGCACAAGUAGAGUGAUCGAAAGAUGAAAAGAACUUUGAAAAGAGAGUUAAACAGUACGUGAAAUUGUUGAAAGGGAAGCGCUUGUGACCAGACUUGGGCUUGGUUGAUCAUCCGGGGUUCUCCCCGGUGCACUCUUCCGGCCUAGGCCAGCAUCAGUUCGCCCUGGGGGAUAAAGGCUUCGGGAACGUGGCUCUCUCCGGGGAGUGUUAUAGCCCGCUGCGUAAUACCCUGUGGCGGACUGAGGUUCGCGCAUUCGCAAGGAUGCUGGCGUAAUGGUCAUCAGUGACCCGUCUUGAAACACGGACCAAGGAGUCGUCUUCGUAUGCGAGUGUUCGGGUGUCAAACCCCUACGCGAAAUGAAAGUGAACGCAGGUGAGAGCUUCGGCGCAUCAUCGACCGAUCCUGAUGUUAUCGGAUGGAUUUGAGUAAGAGCAUACGGGGCCGGACCCGAAAGAAGGUGAACUAUGCCUGUGUAGGGUGAAGCCAGAGGAAACUCUGGUGGAGGCUCGCAGCGGUUCUGACGUGCAAAUCGAUCGUCAAACAUGGGCAUGGGGGCGAAAGACUAAUCGACUCU